rnacentral:rRNA from 1 species
GACGAACGCUGGCGGCGUGCUUAACACAUGCAAGUCGAGCGGAAAGGCCCUGCUUUUGUGGGGUGCUCGAGUGGCGAACGGGUGAGUAACACGUGAGUAACCUGCCCUUGACUUUGGGAUAACUUCAGGAAACUGGGGCUAAUACCGGAUAGGAGCUCCUGCUGCAUGGUGGGGGUUGGAAAGUUUCGGCGGUUGGGGAUGGACUCGCGGCUUAUCAGCUUGUUGGUGGGGUAGUGGCUUACCAAGGCUUUGACGGGUAGCCGGCCUGAGAGGGUGACCGGCCACAUUGGGACUGAGAUACGGCCCAGACUCCUACGGGAGGCAGCAGUGGGGAAUAUCGCACAAUGGGCGGAAGCCUGAUGCAGCAACGCCGCGUGCGGGAUGACGGCCUUCGGGUUGUAAACCGCUUUCGCCUGUGACGAAGCGUGAGUGACGGUAAUGGGUAAAGAAGCACCGGCUAACUACGUG